rnacentral:tRNA from 1 species
AAAUGGUGGUAGAUGUUGUCACGCUUGCCUCGGAAGCGAGCGCCUCUUCUCAGUACAUGCUGGAGACCGUGCGGGACAUGGUCGCCAGUUUC